UUUUUUUUUUUUUUUUUUUUGUUGCUUUUAUUCAGGACAAGAGAAUGACAGUGGAGGAAGAAAGGAGGGUCUUGGCCUUGCUGUGCGAUAAGAGGCACUGUUUGUGGUGUUUCUCAAGUUCCAAUCUCUGAAAUGCUCUGCAAGGCUGGCUUCCAUUGCCCCCCACCACCAUGAUGCCUUCCCACUGCUCCUCUGCUGCUGCUUGUGCUGCCACCAUUGCUUCCCGGUCGGUGAACCUCCUGCCCCACCUUAACAGAGCUGCAGUUCUCAGAUUUAGAAAUGGGGUUCGGAUUCGGAUUUGGAUUCAAACUUAGCCCGCCAGAGUCUUUCUUCUUCAUUUCUGUUGCAUCUCCAAGCCCUCUUCUGUCUUUCAGCAGCUUUCCCAGUUUAACACACUUCUUCGAAGCAAACUCUUUCAACACAUCUUCAAAACUGAUUAGUCGAUAAACCUGCCCAAUAAGCAGAGUGUCAUCAGGUCGAAGAAGCUUGAGUUGCUUCAAUGGCAACCCAUUUUCUGUCCUCAUCGUUCUAGAUGUCACGACUAGAGCCACAUAGUGGCCAGGAUUAGAAUUCAUGAUCUCAUGAGCGCUAACAGACCAGUAAAUCCUUUCAAUCUUGUUUCCUGGGUGUUGAAUCACCACGGUCGCUGCCUCUGCAGCUUGACAAUUUCCCAUUUCGCAAAACCACAAGAAACACACCGAACUAUAUUCUUUUAGAGUGACAAUGGAAAUUUAUAAGUUGAAAGCUGGUAAAGGUAUAGCUAAGCUAGCUUUUGAAUUACACAAAGAUAAUUAAAAAUGCUGACGCUUUGUUCACGUUCACGGAGUACGGCAAGAAUACAGGGAUGUGAGAUUCUCCGAAAAUCGAGAAAGAAGAGAGAUAAACAGAGAAAACCCAGAACAGCAAGUUAGCAGAAUUUCUCUCACUUCAAUGAGCCAAGCAGAGCUGAAAAGAAGAAAAUGAUCUUGUCAUCUUGAUGUGCCUGCCAUAUUCAUUUCUUGAGCAAUAAUUGAGGGUAAGAAGAGAGUAGUUUUUUCAUUUAUUGGAAGUGAAAGAAAGAAGGUGGUGGUGGAAGAUGGGAGGCGCUUAAUAUCAAAGACGGAGAUAGUAUAGGAAGCGUAAAUGGUAGGUAGAUAGUGUAGGAAUCUUCAAUUAAAUGUGUUUCUGAUAGUGUAUGGAGACGUGUUAGAUCUGCAAAACCAUCUGGCUUGCGUCUACUCGUAUGUAAUUGCAAGGGUUGGUAGUUAUUUAUGAAAGAGAACCAACUCUAUCAACUAACAGUUUAUAGACACGAGGUGUGCAGGGAAUAAGAAUUUUUC
rnacentral:misc_RNA from 1 species